rnacentral:rRNA from 1 species
UCCUCAGUAGCGGCGAGUGAGCGGCAGAGCUCAGAUUUGAAAUCGUGCUUUGCGGCACGAGUUGUAGAUUGCAGGUUGGAGUCUGUGUGGAAGGCGGUGUCCAAGUCCCUUGGAACAGGGCGCCCAGGAGGGUGAGAGCCCCGUGGGAUGCCGGCGGAAGCAGUGAGGCCCUUCUGACGAGUCGAGUUGUUUGGGAAUGCAGCUCCAAGCGGGUGGUAAAUUCCAUCUAAGGCUAAAUACUGGCGAGAGACCGAUAGCGAACAAGUACUGUGAAGGAAAGAUGAAAAGCACUUUGAAAAGAGAGUGAAACAGCACGUGAAAUUGUUGAAAGGGAAGGGUAUUGCGCCCGACAUGGGGAUUGCGCACCGCUGCCUCUCGUGGGCGGCGCUCUGGGCUUUCCCUGGGCCAGCAUCGGGUUCUUGCUGCAGGGAGA